UGAGUGGCGGACGGGUGAGUAACGCGUGGGCAACCUGCCCUGUACAGGGGGACAACACUUAGAAAUAGGUGCUAAUACCGCAUAACGGGGGGAGCCGCAUGGCACCCCCCUGAAAACUCCGGUGGUACAGGAUGGGCCCGCGUCUGAUUAGCUGGUUGGCAGGGUAACGGCCUACCAAGGCGACGAUCAGUAGCCGGCCUGAGAGGGCGGACGGCCACAUUGGGACUGAGACACGGCCCAGACUCCUACGGGAGGCAGCAG
rnacentral:rRNA from 1 species